rnacentral:rRNA from 1 species
GACGAACGCUGGCGGCGUGCCUAACACAUGCAAGUCGAGCGGAGCGGCGGACGGGUGAGUAACGCGUGAGCAACCUUUCCCAGACAGGGGAAUAACACACCGAAAGGUGUACUAAUACCGCAUAGUUUGGGGUGGGCUCGCGUCCGAUUAGGUAGUUGGUGAGGUAACGGCCCACCAAGCCGACGAUCGGUAGCCGACCUGAGAGGGUGAUCGGCCACAUUGGGACUGAGACACGGCCCAAACUCCUACGGGAGGCAGCAGUGGGGAAUAUUGGGCAAUGGAGGAAACUCUGACCCAGCAACGCCGCGUGGAGGAAGAAGGUUUUCGGAUCGUAAACUCCUGUCCUUGGAGACGCGGUAUCCAAGGAGGAAGCCCCGGCUAACUACGUGCCAGCAGCCGCGGUAAUACGUAGGGGGCAAGCGUUGUCCGGAAUAAUUGGGCGUAAAGGGCGCGUAGGCGGCUCGUAAGUCUGGAGUGAAAGUCCUGCUUUUAAGGUGGGAAUUGCUUUGGAUACUUCGGGCUUGAGUGCAGGAGAGGUUAGUGGAAUUCCCAGUGUAGCGGUGAAAUGCGUAGAGAUUGGGAGGAACACCAGUGGCGAAGGCGACUAACUGGACUGUAACUGACGCUGAGGCGCGAAAGUGUGGGGAGCAAACAGGAUUAGAUACCCUGGUAGUCCACACUGUAAACGAUGAAUGCUAGGUGUAGGGCUGUGCCGCAGUCAACACAAUAAGCAUUCCGCCUGGGGAGUACGGCCGCAAGGUUGCAACUCAAAGGAAUUGACGGA